CACAGCUUGAAAUUUUUUGGAUUUUAUUGAGGAAGUGGAUGUUGCUACGAUUGCUGAGUUGAAACCAAGUAAUAUAGUGAAAAGUACAUUUCAUCCUAGUUCUAGUGCAAAACAUAUUACAGAAUGGUAAAUUUGCCCUCAACCUUCCACAUUUGUUGAUAGAAUUUAAUCUCAACCGCUUGAUUUGUUUAGUACAGUAUGGGCUUUGAUGAUUAUGCAUUUUACAUGAAAUUCCACUGUAAAUCUAGUCUUGUUAUGAAUUUUAUUUUUAUUUUUGUUGGAUUUCACAUUUUGCUAGUUUUGAAUUCUAACAUGUAAAAAUGGGGACUUAUGUAUUCUUCUAUAUAUCAUAUUCCACUAAUCACUUGAAUUUUGUGAGUAUAACAUACUAUGGUAAUUCAUAUAGUUUUUAAGGAACAAAUCUUGAAUUAAUAUGGUGUGAUGCAGAGAAAUGUAAAAUGUGAAGUUCACUUGAAAAAGAAUAAGUACAAAGAAAUAUUGGAAUGUGCAAAUUUUGAGACCAAUGUGCAUUACCUAUUUAAUAAGUGGGGAUGUGUUGAUUUGUUGGUGUAUAAUGUUUUUCUGUUUAUAUGAUCCGAUGCCAAAAUGAAAAUUCAAUAAUUCUAUCUAUUAGGAAGCGUAUAUAUAUUUUUCUUCAAUUUUCAUUCGAAAUGGUUGUGCAUAGUUUUUGUGUGUCAUUUACCAAAACAUUUAUUGCAUUAACUUUCUUAGAUUUCAGUCCCCCUUAUAAAAAAUC
rnacentral:lncRNA from 1 species